GGUCUCACUCCAUUGUCCAUUCUGGAGCACAAUGGCAUGAUUUCAGCUCACUGCAGCCUCAACCUCCCUGGCUCAGGUGAUCCUCUUGCUUCAGCCUUCUGAGUAGCUGAGACUACAGACAUGCACCACCAUGCCCAGCUAAUUUUUGUACUUUUUGUAGAGAUGGGGUUUGCCAUGUUGUCCAGGCUGGUCUGGAACUCCUGGGCUCACACGAUCCACUCACCUCAGCCUCCCAAAGUGCUGGUAUUACAGGCAUUGUUAAUGGUGGAGGGUGUCCAGGUUCUUGGCAUCUUGAAUGAAGAAUUGGACAAAACGCACAAAUAAAGCAAGCAAGGAAUGAAGGGAUUUACUGAAAAUGAAAGUAUGUUCCACAGCGUGGGAGUGGGCCCGAGCAUAGGGGCUCAAAGGCCCCACUACAGAAUUUUUGGGAGUUUAAAUACCUGCUAGAGGAUUCCAUUGGUUACUUGGGGUAAGCCCUAUGUAAAUGGAGAGGAUGAAGUAAAAUGACAAAGUCAUUGAGUUGGCCUACGCCCUAUGGAGAGGAUAUUUCCUCUCAUAGCUGAAGUGUGAAUUGGCCUUAUGUUCUCUGCCUCCAGAACCUAUUUUUCUGCAUCAUC
rnacentral:lncRNA from 10 species